GUCCUACGGGAGGCAGCAGUGGGGAAUAUUGGACAAUGGGGGAAACCCUGAUCCAGCGACGCCGCGUGAGUGAAGAAGUAUUUCGGUAUGUAAAGCUCUAUCAGCAGGGAAGAAAAAAAGUCCUUUGGACUUUGGACGGUACCUGACCAAGAAGCCCCGGCUAACUACGUGCCAGCAGCCGCGGGAAUACGUAGGGGGCAAGCGUUAUCCGGAUUCACUGGGCGUAAAGGGAGCGCAGGCGGCACGGCAAGCCUG
rnacentral:rRNA from 1 species